ensembl:lncRNA
GGACAGAUUAGACACACGUGUGUUUAUCUGCUGCAGAGAGACUGAUGGAGCAAUGCUGCCAUCAAAGACUCUCAGUGCGUACACUACAGAAAUGAAUAAAACAUAUUUUAUAUCUUAAGUUGUAGGUUAUUUUAAUUAUUGUAAUGUGAAACAGAGCUGUUGCACGUGUCUAAUUCUUGAUUGCUGUAUAUUUGCUGCAGAUCUUUUGUGGUGGAGCAGGACCUGCAAGGAAAGGUGACAGCGGCAUUUGUGGAAAAAAAAAAAAAGGAAAAACUGAAACAAAAAUAUAAAGUAAGAAAUCAUUUUGUUGUUUCUAAUACAGAAAUCAAAUGACAUUGUGCUGUUAAAAUGACUGCUUGUGUAUUAUGUUGUGCAUCUUUGCAGGAUCUGAAAUGUCUGCAGACUAGAAGUCCACAGCAUCAUCCUGGAAAUGGUCCAGUGUCAUGGAUGAGAGGCUCCAUCACUCCACCUGCUUUUACUGUCUCAUCAGGACCAGAUGCUGCUGUGGUCUCUUCAUCCUCAGUUACCCCAAAGACGACGCUUUUAUCUGAAGUGACUUGCAGUGCGCUUAUUACAGAGACCCCAAUCCCCCUGCAGCUAUUUGGAGUAAAGACAGCGCUGGUGACGACUGUGGAGAUCGAACCAGCAACCUUCUGCUCACCAGUUCACUACACCACAAAAGUAAUGAAGCUAUGACAAAAAUUAGCAUGUAACUGUAAACAUAUGAAAUGAAAUUUAGCAAGAAAUGGAAUGCUGACAACAUGAGAUAUAAAGCGUUUACUCUGUGUUUUAUAGGUAGUGGUGCUCAUAGAGAGCAGCACACAGAUGUUUGGAGCAGACAGCAGCAGUCAGAUUGUCCCACAUGUGUUCUUCUGAUCUUGUUCAGGGUUGUGUGGUUCAGCUGCAUCAUCAUGGUCUUCCUCAUCCUCUCUGUGCACUCAGACUAUGACAGUGUUGAUGUCCCUUUCCCAUCCAUGAUCAGAUUCAGUCUGACUGCAGCAGUGAGGGACGUGAUGGACAGCAGAGACAGGUCUCAGCUGUGUUGAGAUGACAACAGGAUGUGGUUUCACUGCCUGUAAAUACAUGAUUGUCAGAACAAUGUUUGAAUAAAGCCUUUUCAUGUGUUGUUGACUACUUGUAU